GUGCUCGCUUCGACAACACAUAUACUAAAAUUAGAACAAUACAGAGAAGAUUAACAUGUCCCCUGCGCAAGGAUGACACGCAAAUUCGUGGGAAAAAAUUGCCCUCA